GACGAACGCUGGCGGCGUGCUUAACACAUGCAAGUCGAACGGUAAGGCCCUUCGGGGUACACGAGUGGCGAACGGGUGAGUAACACGUGGGUGAUCUGCCCUGCACUUCGGGAUAAGCCUGGGAAACUGGGUCUAAUACCGGAUAGGACCCUGGGAUGCAUGUCCUGGGGUGGAAAGCUUUUGCGGUGUGGGAUGGGCCCGCGGCCUAUCAGCUUGGUGGUGGGGUGAUGGCCUACCAAGGCGACGACGGGUAGCCGGCCUGAGAGGGUGACCGGCCACACUGGGACUGAGAUACGGCCCAGACUCCUACGGGAGGCAGCAGUGGGGAAUAUUGCACAAUGGGCGCAAGCCUGAUGCAGCGACGCCGCGUGAGGGAUGACGGCCUGCGGGUUGUAAACCUCUUUCAGCACCGACGAAGCGCAAGUGACGGUAGGUGCAGAAGAAGGACCGGCCAACUACGUGCCAGCCGCCGCGGUAA
rnacentral:rRNA from 1 species